rnacentral:lncRNA from 1 species
GAUUGUCCAUGAUCUGUUAGCUUUUGCGGAAAUCGAAGAGUCGAUUUCGAUGCGUUUUUCGGCGAAAUUCGCCGAAAGAAUGCGGUUUCGGUUCGGAUUUCUUCCGACGUCGUUUGGUUGCUUUGUGAGUAGUCUCUAAGCCUUGUUGGCUGGUCACCAUCAUCACAUUGUGGGUUCGGUGAUGACGGGUGAGCGAUGGUGGGUUUCGGUGUCGAAAUAGACACUUUCGGGAACCCGGAUUCGUACAAUUAUCCGACGAUAAUUGUGUAGUGGUGUUAUCUUGUGUUUGCUGCCAAAACAUCCAAAUUGGAAUGUUUUGGGGCAGCAGGUGACUCGUAGUAUGAGUCGGUGCAUUUCGAGACAAUUCAGUGGUCCCGACGGAGUCCCAGUGUGGUUUUCGGGACUUCCGGCGAGUUACGGUAAUCGGUAUUGGGAAACCGAUCUUCGUGAAUUGUUUGUGGUGUUGUGGAUACUGUGGUUAUUAGUUGUGGGUUAGAUGCUAACCCGGUGGACCCUCUAUAGGUCCGGUUGACAUUCUUUUGUAGUCAGGAGACAGGCGCGACAUUCGUACAGGUGGGUACUUCGAUCCGACGUCGGUACAGUGGUGCACGCUCGGUGAUGGUUUCUUACCUUUGCUCUUUCGUUAUUAUCUAGCAUAUAUAUAUCUUGAUAUAUAGUGUUGAGCCUAGCACCAUGUUGUUCAGUUACACUCCACUCGGUUGUUCUCUUUAUAUCAUGAGUAGGAGUAGAGUAGUUAUACCAUAUUUCUUUGUUGCUCUACUUAGCUAUUCUGCAUACCAUGUUUCAUAUUUAUAGUAGAGCGAUUUUGUGAUUAUCUGUGAGAUUAGCGAUCUAGUCGGUCGAUUCUAGUAUUCAGUAUUUGUGACCUAUUCGGUGAGUUCCUCGACCUUUGUUGUCUGAUGACCGUUGAGGUCGGUAUACCCUGAGGGGUGGGAUUGUCGGUUAGUUGCCGACGGAUGAUUAUACUUUACUCAUAUCCUAUACUUAUGACAUAAUUUGUCGAGUUUCAUAUCCUAUACUUGUGACGCGAUUGGUCGAGUUUCAUAUCCUAGUUGAUCUGAGUGGUCAGUCCUUGUGGUUCAUUAAGCAGUAUUUGCAUAUGUUUGAGAGGAUGUCGAUGUUGUCCCAUCCUAGUUGACCUGAGUGGUCGGUUCUUGUGCAUCUUUACAGUUGACGACCUAUGCGGUCGAUGGGCCCUGUGGGGCAGGAUUGUCGGCUGGUUGCCGACGUUUGAUCAUUGAGCAUAUUGCAUUGAUCG